UACGAACGGCGCUAGCGUUGUUCGGAAUUACUGGGCGUAAAGCGCACGUAGGCGGCCUUGCAAGAUGGGGGUGAAAUCCCCGGGCUCAACCCGGGGACUGCCUUCAUGACUGCAAAGCUAGAGGAUGCGAGAGGUUAGCGGAAUUCCGAGUGUAGAGGUGAAAUUCGUAGAUAUUCGGAAGAACACCAGUGGCGAAGGCGGCUAACUGGCGCAUUUCUGACGCUGAGGUGCGAAAGCGUGGGGAGCAAACAGG
rnacentral:rRNA from 1 species